rnacentral:rRNA from 1 species
UUGGAGGGCAAGUCUGGUGCCAGCAGCCGCGGUAAUUCCAGCUCCAAUAGCGUAUAUUAAAGUUGUUGCAGUUAAAAAGCUCGUAGUUGAAUUUCGGGACCAUCAUGUCGGUCGUGCCUCGGUACGUACUGGCAUUGUUGGUUUCUCCCUUCUGACGAACCAUGAUGUCAUUUAUUUGGUGUUGUGGGGAAUCAGGACUGUUACUUUGAAAAAAUUAGAGUGUUUAAAGCAGGCUCACGCUUGAAUACAUUAGCAUGGAAUAAUGAAAUAGGACGUUUGAUUCUAUUUUGUUGGUUUCUAGGAUCGACGUAAUGAUUAAUAGGGAUAGUUGGGGGCAUUAGUAUUCAAUUGUCAGAGGUGAAAUUCUUGGAUUUAUUGAAGACUAACUACUGCGAAGGCAUUUGCCAAGGAUGUUUUCAUUAAUCAAGAACGAAAGUUAGGGGAUCGAAGACGAUCAGAUACCGUCGUAGUCUUAACCAUAAACUAUGCCGACUAGGGAUCGGAUGAUGUUAAUCUUUUAAUGAUUCAUUCGGCGCCUUACGGGAAAC